UACGUAGGGUGCAAGCGUUGUCCGGAAUUAUUGGGCGUAAAGAGCUCGUAGGCAGUUUGUCGCGUCGAAUGUGAAAACCCGGGGCUCAACCCCGGGCCUGCAUUCGAUACGGGCAGACUAGAGUUCGGUAGGGGAGUCUGGAAUUCCUGGUGUAGCGGUGAAAUGCGCAGAUAUCAGGAAGAACACCCGUGGCUAAGGCGGCUCUCUAGGACGGUACUGACGCUGAGACGCGAAAGCGUGGGGAGCGAACAGGAUUAGAUACCCCGUGUCAGU
rnacentral:rRNA from 1 species